CCUACGGGAGGCAGCAGUGAGGAAUAUUGGUCAAUGGCCGGAAGGCUGAACCAGCCAUGCCGCGUGAAGGUCAGUGCCCUAUGGGCGUUAAACUUCUUUUGUGCGGGAGCAAUAAUGGUCACGUGUGGCCAGACGAGAGUACCGUACGAAUAAGCAUCGGCUAACUCCGUGCCAGCAGCCGCGGUAAUACGGGGGAUGCAAGCGUUAUCCGGAUUUAUUGGGUUUAAAGGGUGUGUAGGCUGUGAGGUAAGUCAGCGGUGAAAUGCCCCCGCUCAACGGGGUGAAGUGCCAUUGAUACUGCCUGGCUGGAAUGCGGAUGCCGUGGGAGGAAUGUGUGGUGUAGCGGUGAAAUGCAUAGAUAUCACACAGAACACCGAUUGCGAAGGCAUCUCACGAAUCCGCGAUUGACGCUGAUGCACGAAAGCGUGGGUAUCAAACAGGAUUAGAUACCCGAGUAGUC
rnacentral:rRNA from 1 species